UGUCAGGAUGGCCGAGUGGUCUAAGGCGCCAGACUCAAGUUCUGGUCUUCGAGAGAGGGCGUGGGUUCAAAUCCCACUUCUGACAA
rnacentral:tRNA from 1 species